UCAAUUAUCCCGGUAUAAACCGUGAAUCUCCCUGGCAUAACCCAAGGAGCUUUUUCUAUCCAAAUCCCGACCAAAAACCGUGGACUUCCCCGGCAUAACCCGAUGAUUUCCCCGGCAUAACCCGUGGACUUUUUUCGGCAUAACCCGGUGAUUUUUUCCGGCAUAACCCGUUGACCUUUUCCGACAUAACCCGAUGAUCUUUCCGGCAUAACCCGAUGAUCUCCCCGGCAUAACCCGAUGAUUUCCCCGGCAUAACUCAUGGACCUUCUUCGGCAUAACCCGAUGAUUUCCCCGGAUAACCCGUGGACCUUUUCCCGGCAUAACCCGAUGAUUUCCCCGGCAUAAUCCGUGGACCUUUUUCGGCAUAACCCGAUGAUUCUUCCCGGCAUAACCCGUGGACCUUUUCCGGCAUAACCCGAUGACUUUACCGGCAUAACCCGAGGACUCUUUCCCUUUUUCGGCAUAACCCGAU
rnacentral:lncRNA from 1 species